AGUAAAUUUUUGAAUGGAUGAAAACAUCUUACAACAUGCACAGGCUGUCCUAAGAGACUAUGAAAGGAGGAUUGUUAGAGAGUCUAACUCAAUAGGAAUAAGCCAACCAGAACUGCAGUUAGGAGUCAUUGGCAGGAGGAACCAUUGUGACUUGUACGAAGAUGAAGCUUUCAAGCACAGUAUUGCUUUUCAAAAGAGACCACACACUACCUCAUCAUCAUGCUUGAAGGUGAUCUGAGCCUGAGGAGGGACAAAGGGCCUAGUGAUCGACUACCUUUGUUUCUGCAAGUAUUGACAAUUCUGCGUUUGUAUGCUGAUAAUUUCAGGGAAUACAGGGUGAUGAGGCAUCAGUGUUGCAAUCAUCUGUUUGUUGAGUGAUCAGAUGUUUUGCAAGCCAUAGCAAGAAGAAAGGUUUUGUGAGAACUUGAGAUUGAGGCUACCCAACAACAACUGUUUGAGUACCAGUACAGUACUACAGGAAUUCAAGAGUCAUAGGUGUGUUCGAUGGGACCCAUGUCUACAUAUCUUGGAGAGAAACAAGCUUUGUACUUUCUUGAUGGGCAAGUCCACCCCAACAAAAAGUUUAUUUUGAUAUAAUAGAGAAAACUCCAAUGAGCAUAACACUGAAAAUUUUAUCGAAAUUUGAUGUAAAAUGAGAAAGUUCUGACAUCUUGAAGUUUCGCUUAUUUUCACAAAACAGAUGCACAUCCUGGUCAUUAUGCAAACGAGUGACCAAGUGACGUUCUCCACUCACUGUUUCUUUUUUGUAAUAUAUCAUGAAAUAUAAUUUUUUUUUCUCAUAAUGGCUAAUAGUAAUACAGGUGUAUGUAUGGUUUGAUGUCUCCCUGAAACUUGUGUAAAAAGCCAUUGUGGCAACCUGUACUCAAUUCGAUGAAGAGUUUUCUCAUAAUUGUGAAUUCUGUAAAAAAUCAAGUAUUAUAAUAUAUUUCAUAUAGUGAUAUACAGAAGAAAGAGUGAGUGUGUGACGUCAUAGACUUGUUUGCAUAUCACCUGUUUUGUGCAUAUAAGUGAUUUUUGCGAGUAAUUAAUUUCUUAUUUUACAUCCUAUUUUGACGUUUUCAGUGUCAUGCACGUUUUAUUUUUCUCUAUCCAUUCACAUUAACUUUUUGUUGUACAGUGGACUUGCUCUAGAACAGGUAUUUUCUGUAAUGUACAAGUAAGAAUUUCAUUAUUUAUUUGUGUCUUCUUUUUAACACUUUUUUUUACAGGGGGUGGGGUUGAAUCAACCUCCCUUGAGAUCUCUGCCAAUGAUCGCAUUAAUGCCUUGAAAAUUGGUAUGAUAAUAGUGGGGGAUGUCAUGUGCAAUGCUGUUUGGUUGAUUUUUCCGAAAUUGUCAGAUCUUUUAUAUUAAUUAAUUAUGCUAAUUUCUGCAUAAAUCAUACUUUUAUACCAUUGCUAACAAUCAAAAUGAAAAAAAAAUCCUAGAUUGAAAAUGAAUUUAUGUAUUUUAUUGUUUUAUGAAUUUCUUAUGUAUAUCUUUUUUUUCAAGAUUUUUUUUGCCAAAUUUAUAGCAGAACAUUUUUUGAAGCAUAAUUAUGUUGAAAUCAAGUAAUUUCAGCUGAUGAAAGUAAAAAUAAUCAUGUCCAUAUGAAGAAGAUGAGAAAACUCAACAUUGACUUUGUACACAAAAUCAUGUUUUGGAGUGUUGAGUAAUUUUCCAACAGCAUGCCCAGGCAUCGUAAAUUUGAUCUCAAAAGAUGUGCAAGACUUCAAAGUAAAAAGUCGGCGAGCAGCACGGUCGUAAAAUUUCGCACAGCGGAAUGGUUGUGGAAUAUGUUGAGGGAGGGGGUUCAUUCACCCCCCCCCCCCGGGGUUUUAGGGUUAACCCUAAAUCUCCCGGGGUAUUUUUAUUCUUGUCAUUCCCGGAGGGGGGGCCAUUAUGGCCCCCCUUAAGAUCUCAGCCGCAGAUUGCGCGAUCACAACAAAAAUUUGCAUGAUGGUAGAGAAUGACAUAAUCUACGCAGUUGCAUUGGUAAAUUUCACUGAAUUCAUAUAUUUUUAUUUAUAUGAAUUAAUUAUGCUAAUUUAUUCAUGAAAUCAUACUUUUUGCUCUGAUUCACUAAAUAAAGCUAAUAGAAUGCUAUUUUUUGGUGAAAAUAUUCUUUAUAGCAUUCCUAACAAUUGUGAAUGAAAACAAUUCUGGUACCAAGACCGAUUUCUUAUGUAUUUUAUUGUUUUUUUAAUUUCUUAUGUAUUUUUUUGUUUUUUACUUUUUGUUUUUUCGAUGGAAAUAGUUCCAGACUUAAUUCUGAUCAUGAACAAGGCAAAAUUAAUUAAGUUUAAUCAGUAAAAGUAGAAAUAAUGAUACAUUUAUGAAUUUUGGCUAAUACACAAUCUGCAUUGGAUUUGUACAUGAAAUAACGUUUAUGAGCAAUUUGGGGUCUGACAUGCACUUACAUAAUGUUGUGUAAUGUCGUAACUGCGUACCCGGGCGUCACAAAUUUAGUCUCAAAAUUUGCGCGAGACUUGAAAGUAAAGUCAGUGAGCGGCAAGGUAAAAAAAAAUUGCGCAGCAGAUAUAUUGCGAAAAUUGUCGAGGGGAGGCCAUAAUGCCCCCCCCCCCCCGGAGAAUAAGGGUUAAAAGAGCACAUUAUUACUAAGAAUUUCACAUGAAUACAAGUAUUUGAAAUUAACUUUUAUCAGAUUUAGUUUCUUUCACAGACUACAUGUAUCUUCAAUGAUUUUUUAAUCCAAACAGUCCUUACAAAAAAAACACCAUUUAAAGGGGAAUCCAACCCAAAUAAAAACUUGUUUUUGUAGGGAAAAGAAAAAUCAGACAAGUUGAUAGAUGAAAGUUUGAACAAUAUUGGACAAACAACAAGAAAGUUAUGAAUUUUUAAAGUUGUAAAUAUUGGUAAUCACUAUUCCCAUGGAGACUUCAAAUUGGCCGCAUAUGGGAUGUCAUAGUGAUGUAGAAAGGACUACUCUUCCAUGUACUCCAAUACAUAUUUUGGCUAAAAUGUCAUUUUUCCCAAAAGUGUUAUUUCAAAUAAUAUUUUUCUUUCAUGAGGACAUAAAACAAUAUACUACCUGGGUUAUAUUUAGAUUACCGCCCCAGGGGAAUGGGUACUUCCGGAAAAAACCACAAAUCCCUGAUAAUAAAGUACAUGGCCUAUGGGAAAGUUGUCCUUGCCCCUUGUCAUAAUUUACUCACUCAGUUGCCAAUUUAAAAUCUACAUAGUAUUAGUGAUCUCAAUUUUAAAGCAGCUAUAACUUUCUUAUUGCUUGUCCGAUUUCUUUCAAACUUUCACCAUUCUGUUUAAUUUAUUUUUCUCCUUCCCAACACAACAUUUUAUGGCCAAGGCUGGAUUCCCCUUUAAUCAGGAAGCAUCAAAUGUUCCUCAUUUACUUUUUCAGGUGAAAUAUUUUCACAUAUUUUAAAUUGUCUAUUUCAAAUGCUUAAGAUUAGAACUUUGAUAGCUCACAGAAAGUUUAUUGCAUGCCCCAAAAUAUGCAUGUCCAUGAGGGUCAUCAAUUCAAAUUGCUCUCAUUUCUUUGUUUUUGCAUCAGUUGUGUUUACACUUGGUUCAGAUAACCAUUGGGGAUUAAAUACCAUAUGCAUGUCCAGGAGGAUAAUAAGGUCAAAAGAUCAUAUUGCAUACACUGUAGUUUGAUUGUGAUAUCAGGCGAGACUGGUGGUUUACCUUGUUUUUGGUUGAAAUGUGUUCUUUUCAAGUGUCCCCAGGGCAACAGCCCAGCUGGGGCAACCAGGUAGCCUUAUGAAUAGAGCUCAACUUGGGCAACCAGGAAAACACUAGCUUGGCCUGGCACAUGCACAUUUAGGGGGCAUGAAUGAGACAAAUUAAAAGGGCAAUUAAUGCAUUUUCUUGGAAAAAAUAUCAUUUCAAUUGACCCCAAAGGAUAACCCGAUGGCCUAGUUGGGGAAACCAGGUAGCCUUACAAGUAGAGCUCGACUCAGGCAACCAGAAAAACACCAGCUAAUAAUUAACAAUAAUAAUUAUUCAUUUGGGCCAUUACUGUAUUGUAAUUCAAGAAUGAUGUGGCAAUAUAUCAAAACUUGGACUAAGUAUUUAUUUCACAAAUGUUUGUAAUUUUGCAAUGUUUUCAAAAUGCCAAUUGAGUAUUAGAUUUUCAGUGUGUUAUAUUUUUAUGUAAUUUCCUGGUGUGAUUUUCCAAGGUGCAAGGUGGUUUCAUGCAAAUUAAAGAUAUACAGAAAAGAUAAAAGAAGAGUAGUCUUUUCCCUUUUUUUCUGAUUUGGAUGAAAUAAUCAUGAAGAUGAUCAAGAUGACUUUGGUGGUGAUGAGGAUGAUGAUUGUGUUGGUGCUGCUGAUGGUGACAAGUGUGGUGUAAUGGUGGUGAUGGUAUCGAUGGUUGUGAUGAUGUUGGUGGUGAUGAGGUUGAUGAUGACAAUAAAGAUGAUAGCAAUGGUGAUGUUAAUGUUGAUGGUAAUGUUGAUGAGUGAUGACGAUAGUAAUGAUCAUGCCCCUUUCAUCUCCAUCACUCCUCUUAUCUAUAUGUAUCCCUUUCAUCUACAUCUCUCCUCUUAUCAUCUCCCUUCCUCAUCAUCUCCAUCCCUCGUCUUACCAUCUCCAUCACUCUAUCCUUUCAUCUCUCAUCUCCAUCCUCCGAUCCCCUCCAUCCCUCAUCUCAAUCACCCUCAUCACCUCCAUUCCUCCCAUUAUCUCCAUCACCCUCAUCAACUCUAUUCCUCUCAUUUCCAUCCCCCUCAACAUCUCAAUUUUUCUCAUCAUCUCCAUUCAUCUCAGGAAAAUGCAUAUACACAAGAUAGAAUUCAACAGUCAAAAUACUUGUUUUGAAAUAUAAUAUCCCUCUGUAAAGUGGGUUUUAUUAUUUGCCAUAUAAAGUUGAAUAAUUACAUAGUAAACAGUGUAUACUAAACAAAAUUUGCUUUUUUGAAAGUGAAACUGAAAGUUUUCAUGCACACUUUCAGUGGAUAUGAAAAUUUUUAAAAAUUCCAGGGAGGGGGGGGGCAACUGCUGCGUAGGGCCAUGCUUUUGAACAUUUUGGGGGCCGGGAGUAUAUCGUCCCAAGCCGGCCCCAAUGUAUAUUUUCCCUUAAUACUCAAAGUAACAGCCACGUAAUUAGCAUA